GUUUUUGGCGACGGAGUAUCUACUGCCAGAGUUUCCCCUGAUACACACGGAGUAGAGUCUUUCACUUUUGACUCAGUUGUUUCCGAGGUUCUUGACUGUCCAGUGGGCAAGGAUUCCUGUAAAGUGCUUUUUACUUCUUCUUCUGGUCGUUGUGAUUUAGCUGGUGGUUUUGAUACCACUGGACUCUUCUGAAUGGUCUGGACGUCCGUUGGAGAGAGAAAGGCACUGAAGAAAUUUUCAGAUUCAUCUACCACAGUUCUCCGAACUGGCUUUGUUAUUGCUUUAGGAGAGGCUACAGGCUGACUCUGAGGUUCACUGUUUGAUUUUAACCCCCAGGUUGAAGUAUCCCAUCCUCCACUGACAGGGAGACUUAUUCCUUUGACAAAAAAAAAAAAAAAAAAAAAAAAAAUAUAUAUAUAUAUAUAUAUAUAUGUUACAAAAGAAAAAAUAUAUUCAUUUUAUGUUAAUAUUACAAUCGUUAUAAGUCAAUACAUAGUUUAAAAACAGGAAACCUGGGGCGCCUGGGUGGCACAGUCGGUUAAGCGUCCGACUUCAGCCAGGUCACGAUCUCACGGUUCAUGAGUUCGAGCCCCGCGUCAGGCUCUGGGCUGAUGGCUCGGAGCCUGGAGCCUGUUUCCCAUUCUGUGUCUCCCUCUCUCUCCGCCCCUCCCCCGUUCAUGCUCUCUCUCUGUCCCAAAAAAAAUAAAUAAAAAACGUUGAAAAAAAAAUUAAAAAAAAAAAAACAAAACAGGAAACCUAUAGAAUACGACCUAUAACUUGCACCUAUUAGGCUACCUGCUUAUUAUAUGAUUAAUUAGUUCACUGUUGCACUUUAGGCCUUAAAGAGGAAAACUGGUACGGAUAUGUCCAAACUAGGAACCAGGAACAAAGGUAAGAGAUCAAAAUGGGCCUGGCCUACCAGAAGCAAAUAUGUUACUCCCUCCCACAACAAAUUAAGAAAGUAAUGGUAUAUGUUACAUAACUUACGCUCAGUCUAAGAUACACAUCUCACAACAUGUUGUGAUGCAUCUCACAACAAGAGGCAGUACCCUCACUUACAGAUCGUGUGAAGUCAUAGCAAACUAACCUGACCUUCUGUUCAGUUUCUUAUUAAUUAUUCUCAUCGUAAUAUCAGUAAUAAAACAUAGUUACGAGCCGGAAAGAGGGUAACACUCAAAAACUGAACCCAGCAUACUGGCAACAAAUGUCCUUUUCCAAAGAUCAAAGUAAACUGAUGGGAACAGUAACUUCUAAAGGACACAUUCAUUUUCAUGCACUUAAUGACAAGUUCAUUCUCCAAGAGUCAUUAUCCAAACCCACUCCAUGAGAAAGUUUUGUUCCCUUCCUAAAUUACAAAUUAUGUCAGCAAUUAGAAGGUCAUAUGAAAUUCACGGGUGCCUGGCUGGCUCAGUCACUGGAGCAUGUACCUCUUGGCCUCAAGGUUGUGGGUUCAAGCUCCAUGUUGGGUAGAGAUUACUUAAAAAUAAAAUCUAGGGGCACCUGGGUGGCUCAUUCAGUUGAGCAUCUGACUUCGGCUUGGGUCAUGAUCCAGCAGUAUGUGAGUUCUAGCCCCACAUCAGGCUCUGUGCCGACAGCUCAGAACCUGGAGCCUCCUUCGCAUUCUGUGUCUCCUCCUCUCUCUGCCCCUCCCAUGCUCAAGCUCUGUCUCUGUCUCUCAAUAAUAAAUAAACAUUAAAAAAAAUUUUUUUAAUAAAAUAUAAAAUUUAAAAAAAGUGCUAUGAAUUUCAAAGAUGGGCAUUUUUAAAGAAUUACUGUGUUUUUAUACCGAUGGUAGUUUACACUAGGCCUUUUUAAAAACACCAAAGAGAAAAUAACUAUCUUCUGGGUAAAAAUGGUAAUUUAGUCACAGAAACACAUGAUACUAAAAAACCCAAUGAUAAACAAAAAAUGGGCUAUUUGCUAAAAUAUUAAAGCAUUUCUUUAAAAAAAAAUUUCCUUUUCUAAACUCAAAAGUGGCUGAGCAGAAUCAUCACAAAUUCUGCACAAUUACGUAGAUAGGGAUGGGAGCACCUGGUUAGCUCAGUCAGUUAAGCCUCUGACUGUUCAUCUCAGCUCAGGUCUUGAUUUCAGGGUCUUGAGUUCAAGCGCAGUGUUGGGCUUCAUGCCCAGAGUGAAGGCUACUUUAACAAAAGCAAACAAACAAACAAACAAAGUUGGUGGCGCGAAAACAAGCACCUAAAAGCUCCUAAAAACUACCUAGCCCUCUACUGAAGUCUAUUCUAUAAUAUGACUUGAGAAGUAUGUAGAACACUUCAGUUUGGGGGCACAGUUGUGUAUCUAUUGGUUCAGUAUAUAAAAACAAUGAAAAAAGGAGAAAACCAGAAGAACAAAUGAACAAGCAAGAUUAAGUCCGCUAAUUAGUUGAAUUUAGUAGGUCUCCUUAAUGAAUGACAGAAGUCACAUGUCCCUCUUGAAGAAACUGAAGAAUGUUUUACACAAAUCCCAAGGUUAUGUGAUAACUCCCUCAACUGCUCCAUUCUAAAGGCUGGUCACCUUCGAGGGAGGAGGCAAUGUAGAGCAUAGGCAAUCAAUAAAUACUCAGUAAGUAAAUAUUUCACUAAUCUGUCUAUUCUGGAUAACCUAUCUUAAAAAAUUAUAUACAUGACUCAAGACCCAAACUUCAAAAAACGAGUAUCUGUAUGUUUAAAUUUUAUACGCUGUCUCCUCCAGGUUUAGUAAUUCAAAAUGUGGGGUAUCUAAGAAAAAGGAAGUUCAGCUACUCCCACAAGGUCACCAUAGCAUCUUGUAAAAAGUACUAAGAUCCUGACACACAGGCCUGGGCCAAAAAUAUCUGAAAAUGAAGUACCUCAAACUUAGGUCCUUUUCAAAGAUGUAAAAUUUAAAACAAGAAACCAGACAGAAGUAGGCAAGAAUAACUUCCUUCUUUUUUGCACAUAGAUUCAGAGCUCCCAAAUAGACAAAUUUUUGCCCCUCGCACUAAAAUGCUCAACUGUUUCCUUAGGCUUAGAGCCAAAGCAAGUAAAGAUCCCUGAAAAGAUCGGGCUCCAGGAAACCGAGAGAGAGACGCAGCUCUCUGAAAACACAACGUGAUGCAACCCCAAACUCCUGGGCCGGGUUCCACGGGUGGUAUCUCCAAUAUAUUCCACCCCUCACCUGCGGGAUGGCCCAGAGGAAGCUACCCGGCCUCGAUUUCCCCUUCUGUAAAACGGCGACAACAAGAAACCUAACUCGAGGAGCUGUCUGGGAGAUGAGAAAGCCAUAAAAAAGCACAUUCCGCGCUGCCGAGCACGGAGCGCUCGUUAAGCGUCGGGCAUGGUGCCUCCCGUCCCUGCUGAUUUCCUUCACGUCGCGGCUCCCCAGUGCCCGGAGCGAGCAGCAAUCCCAGUUUUCUGGACUGCUCGUGCUUGCAGCUAGCUACGUCGAGCGAGGGCGGAGAACAAGCCCAACAUAUCGCCACCCGCGCCUCCGAGGCCGGCAGGACCCGCACCCGGGGCCCCGGGCACGGAAGAACCGGGGCUGGGAUCUCCCUCCGGAAAACAACAGAGACCCACUUGGAGACAAACGAGCAUUCGUGGACGGGCUAGGNNNNNNNNNNNNNNNNNNNNNNNNNNNNNNNNNNNNNNNNNNNNNNNNNNNNNNNNNNNNNNNNNNNNNNNNNNNNNNNNNNNNNNNNNNNNNNNNNNNNNNNNNNNNNNNNNNNNNNNNNNNNNNNNNNNNNNNNNNNNNNNNNNNNNNNNNNNNNNNNNNNNNNNNNNNNNNNNNNNNNNNNNNNNNNNNNNNNNNNNNNNNNNNNNNNNNNNNNNNNNNNNNNNNNNNNNNNNNNNNNNNNNNNNNNNNNNNNNNNNNNNNNNNNNNNNNNNNNNNNAGCCUGAAGCCCGGGGAGGGGUGCUGCGGAACGGCCUCGCCCCCUUCCUCAAACGGCGGGCCCGGUCAGCGGCAGGCCAUGACUCUGACAAUCCCCCCCGAGCCCGGGACGUUACCCUCAGCCCUUCGCGCACAGCUGAGACGAAAAGGCCCGAGCCGCGCAUGCGCGGGCUUCUUCCACGUACACAACCACCAAAUCCGGGAGCCCAGAGUUCCGUCAAUAGACGGAAGAAAAGGCGGAACUUAGACGUCACAUCCGGUACCCGAAGCUUCCCUUUAGUUACGGAGAACGCGGAACUAUUUCUGUUGAUAGUGCUUACGAGCGUAAGGCGCAAAUCCUAAGCCACCAGCAGCUCUGUGGCUGCUAGCAGAGGUAGCUUCUUCCGGGAGGAAAAGCUACUUUUCACGUGGCUUCCCUCCUAGAAAAUAGCUCAGGUACUAAAAGCGUCUUGCCAGUAAGGAUUGCAAACAGGGGCUCCUGAGUGGCGCAGUAGGUUGAGCAACCAACUUCUGUUCAGGUCAUGAUCUCUAGGCUAGUGGGUUCCAGACCUGCCCGAGGCGCUGUACUGACAUUUCAGAGCCUGGAGCCUGCUUUGGAUUCUGUAUCUCCCUCUCUCUCUCUGCCCCUCCCCCGCUUGCGCUGUCUCUCAAAAAUGAAUAAACCGUUAAAAAAAAAAAACAAAACUGCAAAGAAAACUUUGGCUCUCGGCUUCCUAUUAGCGCUUUGUCUCAGAUAUUUAAUCAGUCCUGUGUUAACCUGGACCUGAGAAACCCUGGGUUUGGGUUUGCCUGAAAAUACUGGACUUUGUAUAAAAGGUCUGGUCCAGCGCACCUGAUGACGUAAGUAAAAAGCUAUCAUCUGCAAGGUGUUACAAGUCUGAAUUUCUGAGGCACAACUUCCCCUUCACAAGUACGCACUUCGCCCCAUUCAAAACAAACCUGAAAAGCACUAAAACUAUUACUCUGUUAACGUGUGUUGUGCAUACUAUUUAAAAUACAACUUUUUCUGCAUUCACUCUUCAAACAUUUCGUUAUGACAAAAAAUGAAACUGGUGGCCUACCUAAUCCGGUCAGUGGCUAAGAGAUUUAGACUCCAUAAUGUUAAACGCAAAAUUCUGUCAACAUUUGAAGCCAGAUUCCAUACAAAAAUUCCGAUUUCCAGAUGACUUUGAAAAAUAUGGAUACCAACAGUGAACACUGAGCUGAGGUACUCGCCACUUUACAAAAGUAAUUUUCACUCCAAUUUGCCACAAAUCUAUUAAACCUCUUCUAUCUCCCUGCUGUGGUUAUUUAGGUUUCCCGCCUAUAUUUUAUCCUACUGCAAGCAACUAUGUCCUAAAGCCAUUUUUUUUUAAUUUAAAACAAAAUUAAACUUUGCCCUUGAAAAGUUAUUUAUGAUUUUCCAAUAGUUUCAUCUAACCAGUAAAAAUUUACAUGUUAAAACUCGUAAUAUUUAGUGAUCUACACAAGUAGUACUAAAUAAUUCAGGUUACUAACUUUAAAACAGCUUAAACAAGUAGACUGAGAAGGAGGUUGGGGGCAGACUGGUGUUGGAAUCCCUGUUCCAAGAUUUCUAAUUGUACAAUUUGGGAUAAAUGAUGUAAACUUUCUAAAAGGAUUGAGCUCUCUGAUGGAGAUAUUACCGCCUUCUCAUACAAGGCUACUCUGAGAAUUAUUAGAGCACCUGUGUAAAGGAGGUGCUAAAUGUUAGUCCCUUAAUAUUCCAAAAUUCAAACUUUAUCUGUAACUUUCUAAAUUUUUAAAAAAAUGUUUAUUUCUGCCAGCACAGAGCCCGAUGUGGGGCUCAAACUCAGGAACCGUGAGAUCAUGACCUGAGCCGAAAUUAGAUGCUUUAACUGACUGAGCCACCCAAGUACCCCUGAAUCUGUAACUUUUUAAGUACCUAUAACUAUGUAUCUCAUUAUAUCAUUUUAUAAUGAAACAAACGUUGAUAUGGAGCUAAAAAGAAUAAAUAAAAAUUUAACCUACUGACAUGUAAUCAUAAAGCUUUUGAAUAGAACACUGCCAUCUAAGUGAAAAACACAUAGUGCAUGUUCCCACAUUGAGACACUAAAACUAAUUUUUCAAUACUUACACUUAAUUUUGUCUAAGGCUUAAUUUUUUAGGGAAGAAAAAGGCAUUUUAAGGACAAUAUAAAAAGAUUCCAUUUCAUUACAUUAUUAUGUGAGACCAAAUUAAAUCAGUAGCUAUUUCUUGUGGUACCAUAAAAGUUUUGUAUUAGUAAUCCUGCUACACAUUUAAAAAUUAUUCCAAUGUACAUUACUAUGGAACUUACUAUCCUUAAUAUACCUUAAAAAUUUUCAGUGAGAAAAGUAGACAAUAUAUGAUUUUAUUAAUAAAUAGUGUGAAAGCAUCAGUGAUAACUGUUUGAACAUUAGAUUCUUUUAAACAUCCAUGUCUUGGCUUUAAUAUUGUGCAUAUUGGCCUCUAUGGCACUACAAGUAAACAUGAAAAUAGUUCCCAUUUCCAUGCACAGGUAUUCAGCUAUAACACCAUUUACAAAUUAUUAUGGACACGGUAACCUUUGCAAUAAUUAAUAUUCAUUUGGACAACCACAAUUAAAUGAAUAUUAAAUCAAGCAAGAAGUAGGCUAUGUUCAAUAUGCUCUAGAUGUCAGGUUGUAAUGUUUAAUGUUAUUUAAAACUUUAUUUUCUAAUUUUCUUUAAAGGGGUAUCUUUUUAAUAUGUGGGUGCUCAAAUGAAAACUGAGGAAUGCGUUCUGUGACCAUAAUAACAGAAGUCACGCAUCAGAGUGUUUGCCUCCUCCUCUAAAGAAAUACAUUUGCUCAUUAUUUCUCUCUCCAGAUAUCAUUUGCCAUAUUAUUAAUGAAAAUGCUUACAAAUACCAACCCCAAAAUUCUGUCUUCAAGGUAAGUUAAAAAUUUAAAAAAAGAGUGGUUCUUUAUAUAAAAAAGUCAAAUUCUAGCAACACUAACGCUAAAAAUGACAUUACAUUUCUUAGCAUACACAUAAUGUAUAAUAUUUCCAUCAGUUUUCUAUUAUGUGCAGAUUUAUUUUCCUUAAGAAGUAAAAUGAAGUUUGAAUAGUACAGUCUGUGGUGUGGUGACAUCAGCAACUGCCAGUUCUUGCCCAUCAACGAGUCCCAAUUCUAUAAUAGAAAAAGUAUAAUUAACCCAAGCAAAAAAAUCUCAACAGAAGCAAAACACACACACACAUACAAAGUACACAUUUAAGGUCUAAACAUCAAAAUCCAAUUCUCUUUAAUCAAGGUGAUACUAUCUUUGAUUUCUUUGAGUUUUUUAAUAUUCUACUGAAAGAACAAUUCUAUUAUCAUUUCUAAAGAUAUAAUUAUAAUGAAAUCAUCAUUUAAAGGCAUUACCUAGAAUAAGGAUUCAUUACUUUUACCAAGAGAAAAAAAGAAGAAAAUGAUUAGUAAAUAUAUUCAUUUAAAAUAGCUUUCAUUCAUUUAAAAUAAACCACUUGGGUGGUUCAGUUGGUUAAGCGACAGACUCUUGAUUUAGUUUCAGGUCAUCUCAUAGUUCGUAAGUUUGAGCCCAUUGGGCUCUGUGCUGACAGCACGGAGGCUGCUUCGGAUUUUCUCUCUCCCUCUCUCACUGUCCCUCCCCUGCUCAUGUAUUCUCUCUCUCUCAAAAUAAAUAAACAUUUUCUUUUUUUAAUCUUUAAAAUACCUUUCAAUGUCUUGGAGAGAUUUGGCCUUGUUCGUUCUUCAAUAGAAGUUACUGACUAGAAAACAAAAUUAUUUUAAUGUAAAGCACAUUAAGUGAAAUUGAACUUGUAAUAUAAUGAGAAAAAAGACUUGUAAUAGAGUUUUGUGAAAAACAAAAAAACAAAACAAAACAAAAAAACAACCAAACACUGAUUACCUGUAAGUAAAGUGUUCUAUUUCUUCCCUCUAAUGUAGCUGUGAUGGCUGGAGAUUUCAUCUGCCUAAAUUAUGAUAGGGAAAACAAAAUAAAAUUAAAAAAUCAAAGAUCACUUCUUAAAAAACAAUUCUAGUUUUUAAAGUUUUAAAAUCAGAAAAAUUAUUUCUACAAUAAAACAAAAAUCCAGAACACUUACAGAGAUGCACUAUUGGUUAAAUAAUCCAAAACCUCCUGCAAUUUAGCAGAUGGAGAAAACUGAAUAUUUUGAGGAAGCUGGCUACAUGCUGGGCAGUUCUCCUACACACAUAAAACACAAUAUAUAAUAGUGGCAUACACACCAAUAAUAGUCUAUAAAUAUGAAAUGAAAAUCAACUUGUUUUAUAAUCGUAUUUCCUACAAAUAAAUUUUCAUGCUUUAAAAUCUGCUUUUCAUAAUAGACCUGUUUUCCUAAAUUAUUUUGCUACACAGUAUUUAUUUUGGGCUACAAUGCAAAAGAUAUAUAGUAAGUAGGUUUCUGGAAGUUAAAGAAUACAUAGGAUGUGGGCAAUUUCACUCAUAUUUCUAACCAGUAAUUAAUACGUAAAAAUCAAACUAUGCAUGAUCAAACAAGUUUUCAUUAGUGUAAUAGUACUUACCUUUCUCUCUG
rnacentral:lncRNA from 1 species